CCAAACAUCCGCAGCUUUACCUCACUGCCCUUCCAGCAGCAUCUCACCUUCAACCGGCCUGACGCACAUCCACCGCCGCACCCGAAAAGGAAAAGAAAAACGAGAGAAAGACAGCGUCAAACAAACCAACAAUUGAAGUCGAGCAACAGCAGAGUCGGGGUUUUAUUUUUCAAGGAUGUAGGGGAUCGUUUUGCGGUUUGACAUCUAAUUUCAGUCUGCCAGCCUCUCUGCGACACGGAAACACCAUCCAGCUGCGCAUAAAUAAAUUGCAUCCUCUCGCAGCUUUGUCAGGAUAAAACCAUCCAACCUCUCCACCGUCCUCAGAAUCCCCCCGACGUAGAAGGACUAAGUCACUGCGCAUACCUCCUCGUUUAUUUUGACGGUCAGAUCAGGCCCCGAUCAGCGACGGGUCGCCUCCAGCCUCGGCAGCAUCUCUCCUCUCCGAAAGCAGCAUCCUUCCUCCUUGAAUCUGCGCAAUGGCCGAUAUUCCAGCGGAGUGUAACAUAAAAGUGUUGUGUCGCUUUCGUCCUCUCAACCAGUCAGAGAUUCUACGUGGGGACCAGUUUAUCCCAAAAUUCCAAUCAGACGAUACUGUCGUCGUCGGGGGGAAGUCCUACGUGUUUGAUCGAGUGUUUCCGACCAACACCACCCAGGAGCAGGUGUACAACACCUGUGCCAAGCAGAUUGUCAAGGAUGUUCUGGGUGGAUACAAUGGCACUAUCUUCGCAUAUGGACAAACCUCCUCCGGAAAGACUCACACCAUGGAGGGCAAGCUGCAUGACCCUCACCAAAUGGGCAUCAUUCCUCGCAUCGCUGAGGAUAUUUUCAACCACAUCUUUGCCAUGGAUGAAAACUUGGAAUUCCACAUCAAGGUGUCAUAUUUUGAAAUCUACAUGGACAAAAUCCGUGACCUUCUGGAUGUAACAAAGACCAACCUGUCUGUCCAUGAGGAUAAGAAUAGGGUGCCAUAUGUCAAGGGAUGCACUGAGCGUUUUGUCUCCAGCCCUGAUGAGGUUAUGGAUGUGAUCGAUGAAGGCAAAGCUGCCCGCCAUGUUGCUGUGACCAACAUGAACGAGCACAGUUCUCGCAGCCACAGCAUCUUCCUGAUCAACAUUAAGCAGGAGCAUGUGGAGACUGAGCAGAAACUGUGUGGAAAGCUGUACCUGGUGGAUCUGGCUGGCAGUGAGAAGGUCAGUAAGACUGGAGCUGCAGGAGCCGUCCUGGAUGAGGCUAAAAACAUCAACAAGUCUCUUUCUGCUCUGGGAAAUGUCAUCUCUGCGUUGGCUGAGGGCACGAAAAGUCACGUACCGUACCGUGACAGCAAAAUGACCCGCAUCCUGCAGGACUCCCUCGGUGGGAACUGUCGCACCACCAUGUUCAUCUGCUGCUCUCCCUCCAGCUACAAUGACGCUGAGACCAAAUCCACUCUAAUGUUUGGACAACGCGCCAAGACCAUCAGGAACACCGCCUCCAUCAACCUGGAGCUGACGGCGGAGCAGUGGAAGAGGAAAUACGAGAAAGAGAAGGAGAAGAACAAGACUCUGAAGGAAACCGUCCAGAAGCUGGAGAUUGAGCUCAACCGCUGGAGAAAUGGAGAGGAGGUGCCUGAGACGGAGCGGACCGCGGCAGACGUGGUGACCCGUUUUGAGACCGUGGAGGAGCGUCCCAUUUUGGACAACGACACCUCCUCCAUUGUGGUUCGCAUUUCCGAGGAGGAGCGGCAGAAGUACGAGGAGGAGAUACGCAAGCUCUACAAGCAGCUGGAUGAUAAGGAUGAUGAGAUCAACCUGCAGUGCCAGUUGGUGGAGAAACUGAAGCAGCAGAUGCUGGACCAGGAUGAGCUCUUAGCCUCAUCCAAGGGCGAUGGGGACAAGGUCCAGGCUGAACUCGGCAGGCUUCAGGUGGAGAGCGACUGCGCCAAGGCUGAGGUGAAGGAGGUGCUGCAGGCUCUGGAGGAGCUUGCCAUCAACUACGACCAGAAGAGCCAGGAGGUGGAGGAGAAAGGCCUGCAGAACCAGCUGCUGGCUGACCAACUGUCCCAGAAAAUGGCCAGUCUGAUGGAGCUGGAGGCAGAGCUGUCUCGUAUGCAGGAAGUGAGCGGGCAGCAGAGGAAACGCAUCGCUGACGUCCUCAACGGUCUGAUGAGGGACCUCAGUGAGUUCAGCACCAUCGUGGGCAACGGGGAGAUCAAGCUGCCGGUGGAGAUUAGCGGCGCGAUCGAAGAAGAGUUCACGGUGGCUCGCCUAUACAUCAGCAAGAUCAAGUCUGAGGUGAAAAGCAUGGUGAAGCGCUGCCGCCAGCUGGAGAACAUGCAGCUGGAGUGCCACCGCAAGAUGGAGGAAACCGGGAGGGAGCUCUCCUCAUGCCAGCUCCUCAUCUCCCAGCAUGAAGCUAAGAUCCGCUCCCUGACAGAGUACAUGCAGAGUGUGGAGCAGAAGAAGCGGCUGCUGGAGGAGAGCCACGACUCCCUGAGCGAAGAGCUGGCCAAGCUGCAAGACCAGGAUAACUCCCUGCUUGAGGAGAAGGAUGGAGAGAAGGGUGAGACUGAGGAUGGAAAUGUGAAGAAGGUUUCCCGUCAGCAGGAUUCUCACCAUGGCCUCCAUCACAAGCAGCUGGCCCGCCUGCGGGAUGAGAUCAACGAGAAGCAGAGGAUCAUUGACGAGCUCACUGAUCGUAACUCCAAGCUGGAGCUGGAGCUGGCUCAUGUUCGCGCCGACUUUGAACGCCUGAAGAGUCAGGACAACACUAAGAGCGAGCGUCUGGAGGAGCUCUCAUUCCUGCAUGAGCGCCAUGAGCAGACUAAACAGGACUUGAAGGGUCUGGAGGAGACUGUCGCCCGCGAACUCCAGACCCUCCACAACCUGCGCAAGCUGUUCGUUCAAGACCUCACGUCGCGGGUUAAAAAAAGUUCCGAAAUGGAGCCUGAUGAUAGCGGGGGGUCUUGCACCCAGAAGCAGAAGAUUUCCUUUCUUGAGAAUAACCUGGACCAACUUACAAAGGUUCACAAACAGCUGGUACGUGACAAUGCAGAUCUGCGCUGUGAGCUUCCAAAGUUGGAGAAACGUCUUCGGUCUACUGCUGAGAGAGUUAAGGCCCUGGAGACUGCACUGAGGGAUGCCAAGGAGGGCGCAAUGAUGGACCGCCGCCGCUACCAGCAGGAGGUCGACCGCAUCAAGGACGCCAUGAGGGCAAAGAGCGCCCUGAGGCGCCCCCAUGCAGCACAGAUCGCUAAGCCAGUGAGACCGAAGCAGAUGCCUGUCUGCUCUCCCACCAACCCGUUCUACACUUACAUCCGUGCCACUGAACAGGCCAACACCUACAGCAACGCCCUCUUCCAGGGCAACGUGACACAGCCGAGCGCCGCUAGCUCAAACUGCAACCCCAACUCUGUCCAGAGCAACACAGUUUCUACAGCGCUGGGCUACAGAGCAGGCAGAUAUACUGGAGACAUACUGGAGUCCUUCCCACUCAACAUUGACAAUGCAGGUAACAGUAUCAGUGAAACGAGAGACAUCAAUGACAACAGAAGUGAUGUUUACUGUGGCAGCGAGGUGGAUGAUUCAAACAGGCACUACAUCAUUCAGCAGGAGACCGCCGCAAGUUAAUGCCAUGAAGAUGACCAAACACUGUACCUGUCCACGGACCCUCCCCUUCCAUCUGCAUGCAGCCUGUCUCCCCCCGUCCCUCCACUGCAUCACUGAUGAGGAUGAUGAUGAAGAUCUGUAGCCCUGUAGUCAUCAAACUAGAUGAAGCCCCUCCAGCUCCUUUGGUAAUGCUGCCGACUUCCAUUUAUUGUGGAUCCCUCCCUGCAUUGCACCGACACCUUGUGAGUCUUCAUAUCGAGCCUUAACAAGAGCUGACUUCUCAUGAUCAAACUAACACGUGUGCAUACAUUUGUAAUUACUACCUCUAGAGCUACUCAUUAUACGCUUAUUACACUAUACUAACAUCCUCUUAAAUGUUGACUAAGAGUUGAUCUUAAAGUUUCUAGAGAAAGACUCAACUUAAGUACAUCAAUAGCUGUAAGUAGAUUUAAAAGCUCUUAUCAGAGCAGUAGUCAUAGUCUCCUGAAGUUCAUUCAUACACAGAUUCCUCCUCCAUCAUAAAACACAAUCAGGGCUGGGCUGAAAACGUGCUUGCAAAAAUGUUCUAGUGCAGGACCAGAAAGUUUGGGUUUACCACGUAAGGACAGAUCAAGGUAUACUACAUUGAGUUUCAAAUAUUUUCCUAAACUUUCUGGUGCUUGAUGCAAGACUGAAAUUAUAAUGCCUGCAUCCUUUGUCUCCUAAUGUAAAGUUAGACUAUGUAUUGUCUAAAUUUUGAUUUUAAAACAGAAGUGAAGUAACCUCUUCAACAUUUUUUAGACUAUAUGGAUGUUUUUUUAGUGAUUCAGUGCUUUUUAAACAGACCCAUCAACAGUCCAAUGAUUAGGGAGUGUCUGCAAACGAGUCCCCAGCUGAGCAGCCACCAGUCUGGGAUGGACGGACUAUAUGACAGAUGCUUGUUGUUUGUAGCUUGUUGUCAAGGCGUGCUGUUAUUCUUCUGUCAGAAAUCCUGACCAGCCAAUCAGGAUAGAAGAACGCAACAUGUCUCUGGUGGGUGGCAAACAUAUGGAUGUGUUUGGACUGAGCUGAGUCACUGAAUUAAAGGACAGAUUAGAACAGAAGUGUGUCGCUCUUAAAGGAAAACAGCUUUUAAAUAAAAUUUUUUACAUUAAAAAAAAUUCUCUAUUCUAAGUUCAGCGUAUUACAUGGCAUGACUGGACUUCUAUUUAGCCCAAAUAGGACCCGAUUAUGUAAAUUGUCUAAUACCUAACAGCCUAAUUCAUGACAGCACCGCUCUGUCUCAUGCUCUAUGCUCAUAAACAACAUCUCAGGGCUUCACAUUCACAAUCACAGCCACCAUGAGCCAUCACCACUGUCUUCCUCAUGUGAGUGCUGAUGAAAAAUCAGGUCGGCGGGUAUUCUUCGAGGCUUAGCAGAUAAAUGGGAUGAUAAAUCUACAGAAAUAACAACAUUUUAUACAUAGUGUCUCCAUUCUAGCACAUGACAUCCAAAAUGAAAAAAAAUCCCUCUGGUCAGACCCUACUGUGUCCAAGCAAACCCUCUAUUUGACAUCAUGUUUCAAGUAUAAUAAAUGAAUCCGAAGGAGGUGGGGGAUGUGUAAUAUAUUGCCACCUGCUGUCCAACUGUCUUAUUUCAACAUAUCUAAAUUACAUGUGCUAUAUAUUGUUAAUCUUGUAAGUAAAAUAGCGUGCCAUGACAUAGUAAAAUGCAAAAGAAAUGCACACGCUAAUUUCGUUCAAAGAAAUGUUUGUUUUAUUUCUGUAUGCCUAUACUGUAGCGUCAACAUGAUUAUGUGAAGAAUCACAGUUCUGUAUAUAUAGACUCAUCACUAUGCUGUAUUGUAUGUGAAUCAUUGUGUUGUAGUAAAAAGUUCAAUA